AGUAUUAAAGUCUAGAGGCCCAUCUGCCUAUUGAGGUUGGACUCCGUGUGGUUGUGUUUGAAAUACUGUCUGAGGAGCCAGCACCAGACCUGCAGUUCAGGCUGAGAAAGAGGUUUUGAGCACUUAAGCGAGCCACAGACCACCCAGGAGUGCGAGCUGUGGCCUGUUACAGACAGGAUCUUGCUGUAUUGCCCAGGCCGGUCUUGAACUCCUGAGUUCAAGCAGUCCACCUUGGCCUCCCAAAAUGCUGGGAUUACAAGCAUGAGCCACCAUGCCUGGUCUGAUUUUGGAAAAAUUAAAGAAUAUGGAGAUAGCUUGGUGAAAGAGACCCAGAUGGUUUGGGAUUUCUGUUUUUAUAUAAGAGCAGUGUCCCAAGAGACAGCGAAAACCCCAGCUCGGAGCCCACAGAGCCCAUCCUUCAUCUGCUCCUGUGUGUGCGUUUUCCUUCUGUGCUGUCCCGUGUAGAACAGCGAGAGUCCAACCAGCCUGAUGAGUCUCAUGAGAUGAGGAAUGGUGGCUUAGGAAGCAUUUUGGAUAAUUCACAGAUGG
rnacentral:lncRNA from 1 species